CAGAGAUGGGUCAACAUUAUCGACAUCCCACACUUGAAAGGAAAAACCUGUGACCAGUUAAACAGAAGCUUUCGUGUGUGUAGCCACCACUUCUCACCGACAAACUACAUGUCUGGAAAUUCAAACAAACUCUGCAAAUUUGCAUGUCCAGACCAAAAUCUUGGUGAGACCGGAACUUCAGAUGGUACUACUCCAGAUGACACCCCUGCCAGAUCAUCUUCAGCAUCAAGAACAACCAAUAACACCACUAUCGAGUAUGUGACACCAUCUGAUGUGGGCAUAAACGUCACAUAUGACAAAGAUGAUGGGAGUUUUGGU